GGGCUGCAGUAUUUUGACUGUACAAAGGUAGCAUAAUCAAUAGUCUCUUAAUUGGUGACUUGUAUGAAAGAUUGGAUGAAAUAUAGACUGUCUCUAAUUAAUUUAUAGAAAUUAAUUUUUUAGUAAAAAAGCUAAAAUAAUUUUAAAAGACGAGAAGACCCUAUAGAGUUUAAUAAUUUAUUUAAUUAUUAUUAAUAUAUAAUUUUUAAAAUUAAAAUUAAAUAAAUUAUUUUGUUGGGGUGAUAGAAAAAUUAAAUUAACUUUUUUUAUUUAUUUACAUUAAUUUAUGAUUAAAUGAUCCAUUUAUAAUGAUUAAAAGAAAAAAUUACCUUAGGGAUAACAGCGUAAUUUUUUUUUUUAGUUCAAAUAGGAAAAAAAGUUUGCGACCUCGAUGUUGGAUUAA
rnacentral:rRNA from 1 species